rnacentral:tRNA from 1 species
GGGUAAGUGGGAGAAUUGGUUAAUCCAGCGGACUGUAACUCCGCCGCCCGCCAUAGCUUGUAGGUUCGAAUCCUACCUUACCCACCA